rnacentral:rRNA from 1 species
AGCAGCAGCCACGGGAAUACGGAGGAUCCAAGCGUUAUCCGGAAUCAUUGGGUUUAAAGGGUCCGUAGGCGGUCUUGUAAGUCAGUGGUGAAAGCCCAUCGCUCAACGGUGGAACGGCCAUUGAUACUGCAGGACUUGAAUUAUUGGGAAGUAACUAGAAUAUGUAGUGUAGCGGUGAAAUGCUUAGAGAUUACAUGGAAUACCAAUUGCGAAGGCAGGUUACUACCAAUUGAUUGACGCUGAUGGACGAAAGCGUGGGUAGCGAACAGGAUUAGAUACCCGUGUAGUCCCUGUCUCUUAUAC